AUACCUUUCUCGGCCUUUUGGCUAAGAUCAAGUGUAGUAUCUGUUCUUAUCAGUUUAAUAUCUGAUAUGUGAGCCAUCGGCCCACUCGAUAUUAAUCUUAUUUUUUAUGGGAAAAGACCCGUCACAAUAGCUUGCUAUUGGGGUCUUUAAGCGUCGCCUUGGUGUUGCACUACUGCCUUGGCCUGGCGCACCCCUC
rnacentral:snRNA from 2 species